rnacentral:SRP_RNA from 1 species
AAGCAUCGGGCGGCCCGGUCUCACCUACGAGCCUGUGCAGAAGCUUGGCGAGGGCGCCUUUGGCGUUGCGCACCUGGUCGUCGACAAAAGGUCCGGCCAGCACCGUGUGCUCAAGACCAUCAAUAAGCGCCUGUCCCAGGUCCCGCCGACGCUCAUGGAGCGGGAGAUCAAAAACCUGAAGGCCUGCGAUCACCCGCACAUCAU